GGAAGAGGAGGUGGCUGCCCACAGCACGGCUGCUCAAGUCACCCCCACCCCCAUGCAGCCCAUUUGGCAAGUCCCCCCCAAAAAACACCCACUGAGAAACCCGGACUGGUCAGGUGAAAUAUGGGGUAUCAACCUGCCUGGAGUAUUGUAUUACAUCCACUAAAAGUGGGUCUUGAUCUGAAGCCCAGGCUGGAGUACAGUGGUGCAAUCAUGGCUUACUGCAGCCUCAAACUCCUGGCUCAAAUGAUCCUCCCACCUCAGCCACCUGAGUAGCUGGAACUACAGGAGUGCCACCAUGUUUUUGAUUCACCAUUCAAUUCUGCUGACAUCCCCGGUUUAUGGUGGACAGAUUCCUGUAACGGGCAGCAGGAAUCUUGAGUUGCAGAUUUCCACCCCACUAAGGCUGAUGACAAGGAGGCAAAUAGGCCAAUGGCCUUCAGCCUUUGAUCCUGUGGAGGAGGACGGCACGUGCUUGGCAGGACUCGGAAAGCCUUCUAGCAGAAAUAACAGCUCCCAGGAGCUCCACACUGGGUCUAUCCUUCUACCUUUCAAGCUUCUUUCUCUCUUCCUUUUAAGUUGUUGUUUUAUAAUUAUUAAUUAAAGCACUGGCCACUGG
rnacentral:lncRNA from 1 species